AUCAUGCCUUUAGCAACUAUGCGUUUGUAACCUUGCGAGGGUCAUAGAAAUUCUACUAGAUGGCACGCCUCGAAUUUUAAGGACAAAGCAAAAUAAUUAAAGUGAGGGUCGUCAAAUUGUCAUUUUCGUUAGGCACGGCACGCCUUUAAUUUUUCUAGCUUAAGAGCUUCUAAAUUAAUUCAUGAGGGCCAUAAAAACUUGUAUUGUAAUAUGGAUCACCUCAAUUAAAAAAAACUUAGUUAAAUAAAAGAAGACCUAAAAGAAUUCUAAGGCAGUUCAUCAAAGUUCAAACUAAAAACGUAAUAAUCGAACAAAUGCCCAUUUCUCUUUAUAGAAACACUUGAGCCCAAUAGCCUACUGUAUUUUUAAAAAACUAGAUGGCCAUAAAUUUUAACAAACAACUUAAACCAAACCUCAAUGGAAUACCCAAUUCAAAACGUGACGUCUAUUAUCAGAAUUGUUUACAGUGUUGAUGUGAGUCAUAUUCUUAUCUCAAAACUAGGAUCAAGGGAGCCCAAUACCACGUUGCAAAUGCUACUAGCCUAAUGACUUUUAAAGUGACCUGAGCUAGGCAAAAAAGAAAGCCCAAUUCAGCGGUUGUGGUGCAUUAGCAAUGCAAGGAUCCCCGUAGCAACACAAACAACACCCAAGCAAAAUAUCAAAUGACCCUAAAUUGAUUUCAAACACAUAAAAUGCUCCAAAUUCAUUUCAAAACGACCAUAAAUGCCUAUUUAGUUUCCUACUUUAAUUAUUUCAAAAUGGAAUGAACAGAUAAACCUGUGUGAAAGCUCAAAACUAAGUAACCAUUAUAUAAUCAUGACAAGCUCUAUUUUCAAAACUAAUUUGAUGAGCUAAAGCAGAAAUCAUUAUAAAAAAACAAACUACUAGAUCCCCGAGUAAAUUAUCGAUAUCAAAAUCGUGUGAACCAAGCAGACACACUUUGAACUAAGCAUUUUUUAAAACUGAACACCUCCGAUUUCCAACAGAACUUAAACGCAAAUACAUUUUACUCAGCUUCAAAUAAACGUUUACUGCAGCGGCGUUAACAGUCCAUACAAGCAAAUAGAGUUCAGAAAACACUACAACACUGAAUACUCUGAAAUUACACAUUAAAUCUAAACAACUAAACUAUCCUAAGAAUUUUAAGAUUUCUAUUCAAACUUCAACUUGCGUUUUAAAAUCUUUAUACAUGCUAGUCAAUAUUCAAUUCCAUGACAGGUUUUAAUGGUGUACCGGGAGAUUGUAAAAGGAAAAGAGGUGAAAGUAGUAAACAGCAACAGCAGUAGAACCCAACAAUCAGAAAAUAAACCAGCAGACUAAUUUUAAACCCAGCAGAUGAGAUACCAUAAUACAAACACUAAUUUCAGUCACUCAAUGAACCAGCAGACCUCAAACCAUGCUCGAUUUUAACCCAUUUUAGUACCAACUAACCAGAAAUUGCUUCAGUACAAGAAAAACUUCAAAAAUCACCAAAAAAGUUCAAUGAAAUAGUUUUCUUUUCUUUUUAAAAAAAUCCUCAGUCGUUUUGAUUUUUUUAUUUUUAUCUCUUGAUUUUUCAGUGUUGAAAGGCAAGGAAAAGAUGCCUCUAUAGGCAAGGAACCUGGGGCAACACAAGAGAAUCAACUUUUCCUCUUGGGCCCUUUUCAGAUUUUGUUUUUGCUUAGAUAGCCUCAGUUAGAAAUCUGAAGUUCAAAUUAAACCCUCACCUAGCUUUCUAGAAGCUUCUCAAUCUGUUACAAAUAGAUUCGCACCCCAAACUAUCCCCAAACCCCAGUUAAUUAACCAAAUAGCCCAAACGGGUAUGGGUCAAAUUAACCUGAGCUUAAUUCACUCGAAACCCAUCCCCAAACCCAAACUCUGAACCUAAGGCAUGGACCCUGAACCCCAAAUAUAAUUAGAGACUAAUGUAACUGUAGAAAAACAAAACUUAAAGCAAUUUGAAUUAAUUUCAAAAAUUCAAUUAACAAACUAAAACUAACGGAGUUAACACAUUGAAACCAGCCUAAUUAGAACCUGAAUGGACUAAGAGAUAUAAAUUAUCAUGCCUAACAAAAUGUCCCUUAAGACAGAGAAAAAAAAUCAGAAGAAGCAGAUGAAAGGUCGACAACAAGUACAACAAUGAAUAAUAAGAAUGCAAUCCAGAAUGAAAAGGAAGACAUGCAAGGCCCAAAAAUAAAAGGAAAUACCUAAAAUGGGAGCCAAUCCCGCGGUUCUUCUUUUAAAAUCAUGAUUCUGACCAGAAAGGGCAUUGAUCAUGUGUUCUCAAAUGAAAACACAUGACCAAGAUCCAUUCGGGUCCCGAUCUACCUAACUUCUGACUUUGACACUUUAGACCCUCAAUUUCCAAGUUAAUAUUCAACGGGUUUUGUAGAUACUCGAGGGCAGGGAAUGAUGGGUUUGGGAUAAGGGAAGGCAUGGGGUUUUAUGGUAUUAAUUUGGUGGCUUUUGGAAUAAGGCCACCACCAGUGGCGGUGGAAAUUUUUGGGUGGCGGCUAGUUCUAGGUAUUUGGUCUCUGAGAAGUGAAGGAGAUGAUGAAAGAGG
rnacentral:lncRNA from 1 species